rnacentral:rRNA from 1 species
UACGUAGGGUGCGAGCGUUGCCCGGAUUUAUUGGGCGUAAAGAGCUUGUAGGCGGUUUGUCGCGUCUGCUGUGAAAAUCCGGGGCUCAACCCCGGACUUGCAGUGGGUACGGGCAGACUAGAGUGUGGUAGGGGAGAUCGGAAUUCCUGGUGUAGCGGUGAAAUGCGCAGAUAUCAGGAGGAACACCGGUGGCGAAGGCGGAUCUCUGGGCCAUUACUGACGCUGAGGAGCGAAAGCGUGGGGAGCGAACAGG